UCAAGCACGGGCGGCACGUGUUAGAGGAGCUCUGCAACCCUAGCUCCAAAUUUACCUUUUUUACCUUUACCUGCAGACAGAAACGAAGUGGUAAAGCCAAGAAGGGGCAAAAUGUUUUGCAAUAAGGACGUGCAUAACGAGGCUACAAAGAAGAAAAAGUCAAGUGUAGGCAAAAUGUUUUGCAAUAAGGACGUGCAUAACGAGGCUACAAAGAAGAAAAAGUCAAGUGUAGGCAAAAUGUUUUGCAAUAAGGACGUGCAUAACGAGGCUACAAAGAAGAAAAAGUCAAGUGUAGGCAAAAUGUCUUGCAAAAAGGACUUAAACAUUGAGACGACAAAGCAUAAAAAGUCAAGUGUAGGCAAAAUAUCUUGCAAAAAGGACUUAAAUAACAAGGCUAAAAAGAAUAGAAAGUCAAGUGCAGUCAAAUCUGGAAGGCGCAACUCCAAACAAGGUGGUGUCAAAGGGAAAACUUGCGUUGGUAGAAGAGCCAGGGACAGCGGGAGUAUGGACGAGGUGAAGUGUGCAUUGUUUGAUCCGUCUCCGGCUUCAGGAUCACGGCCCUCCAUACACGGCGAAAUGUCAAAUGUUAACAACAUUAUGCAUCCAAGCCCUGCCAGACUUGCUGGUUCAGAUGGGUCUUUGGGAACGGAUGCCAAAGCCUCCGGUUGCUGCCCCUGCGGUGACUCUAAAUAUGUUUCCCUUCAGCGGAUAACUUCAGGUGAAUGCGCACAAAAACGGCAGUGCAGGUCUCCCGUGUAUGGCCGAGAUGUUGAGGAGGAUCCUGGCCCUGGAUGCAACCUAGUAGAACCGAAAAUCCACAAAAGACUGAAGCUAGGGGAUGGUGUUGAAGGUGGGACGUUGCCAUUGUACUCCUUGUACAAAGAUCCGGCAGAAACAGAGUCUGUAGAUAAGGAGAUGUCUGGUGUAG